rnacentral:rRNA from 1 species
UACGAAGGGGACUAGCGUUGCUCGGAAUGACUGGGCGUAAAGGGCGCGUAGGCGGCAUGCCAAGCGUGUGGUGAAAGCCCGGGGCUCAACCCCGGGUCGGCCGUGCGGACUGGCGUGCUCGAGCACUGUAGGGGCGGGUGGAAUUCCGGGUGUAGCGGUGGAAUGCGUAGAGAUCCGGAAGAACACCGGUGGCGAAGGCGGCCCGCUGGGCAGGAAGGCUCGCAAGAGCCGGCUGACGCUGAGGCGCGACAGCGUGGGGAGCAAACAGG